GAUGAACGCUAGCUACAGGCUUAACACAUGCAAGUCGAGGGGAAACGAUAUUGGAAGCUUGCUUCCGAUAGGCGUCGACCGGCGCACGGGUGAGUAACGCGUAUCCAACCUGCCCACCACUUGGGGAUAACCUUGCGAAAGUAAGACUAAUACCCAAUGAUAUCUCUAGAAGACAUCUGAAAGAGAUUAAAGAUUUAUCGGUGAUGGAUGGGGAUGCGUCUGAUUAGCUUGUUGGCGGGGUAACGGCCCACCAAGGCGACGAUCAGUAGGGGUUCUGAGAGGAAGGUCCCCCACAUUGGAACUGAGACACGGUCCAAACUCCUACGGGAGGCAGCAGUGAGGAAUAUUGGCCAAUGGGCGAGAGCCUGAACCAGCCAAGUAGCGUGCAGGAUGACGGCCCUAUGGGUUGUAAACUGCUUUUAUAAGGGAAUAAAGUGAGAGUCGUGACUCUUUUUGCAUGUACCUUAUGAAUAAGGACCGGCUAAUUCCGUGCCAGCCGCCGCCGUAACAC
rnacentral:rRNA from 1 species